GCUUGUGUAGCUCAGUAGGCAGAGCGGCGGACUGUUAAUCCGCGUGUCGAUGGUUCGAGCCCAUCCACAAGCGCCA
rnacentral:tRNA from 1 species